UGGGGAAUAUUGGGCAAUGGAGGAAACUCUGACCCAGCGACGCCGCGUGCGGGAUGAAGGCCUUCGGGUUGUAAACCGCUUUCAGCAGGGAAGAAGCGAAAGUGACGGUACCUGCAGAAGAAGCACCGGCUAACUAUGUGCCAGCAGCCGCGGUAAUACAUAGGGUGCAAGCGUUGUCCGGAAUUAUUGGGCGUAAAGAGCUCGUAGGUGGUUCGUCACGUCGGAUGUGAAACUCUGGGGCUUAACCCCAGACCUGCAUUCGAUACGGGCGAGCUUGAGUAUGGUAGGGGAGUCUGGAAUUCCUGGUGUAGCGGUGGAAUGCGCAGAUAUCAGGAGGAACACCAAUGGCGAAGGCAGGACUCUGGGCCAUUACUGACACUGAGGA
rnacentral:rRNA from 1 species